rnacentral:miRNA from 1 species
AUAAGAUCAGGGUCAACAAUCGC